GUUAGAGUAAUAAACUUUGCCACAUCCAAAAAUCUUAUUGUUAAAAGUACAGUGUUCCCAGAUCAUAACAUUCAUGAAACUUCACUUAUGACCUUAAACAGAAAUAUGAACAAUAUUUAUGACCUUAAGGAGCAUUUGGCUGUUCAUAAUUUCUGAAAUCUGCUUAGUGCAGAACAUUAUAUCAGCUGUUGACCCAUUAUUUUCAGAACCCACAGUAGGAAUCAGUAGUCAGUUUCCUGCCAGUCUACUUGUAGGAGAGACAGUAGGUUUUAUUCUUUUAUAGACAUUUUCACAGAUAUUCCUUUUAGUGAAUUUUUGCUUUCAUUGAUACAUUUUUAAGUUCUGCUGAAGUUUGUUAUAGUGACGUUCCUCUGUACAUUUACAUUAAAAACAUAUCAUUUCUUACAUUUAGUUAUGCUGCUAAUUUUUUUGUUUUGACAAUUGCAGUUCGAAUUGUCUACUGAAAAUGACUUUGCCAUUCUUAUUCUGCAGGUACUGAGGGUGAACACAAAGUACAAUGUUAUCUGGGUGAAAGGACAAGGAAUUCCUGGAGAGACAAACUCGUUUGUUUACAUAUAUGACACUCGUCUUCCACUGAGGAAACCAAAAGAAGCACCUCAUUUUCCAACUUAUUAUCCAGAGGAUGAGGAACCAUUAGUAGAAGAGCUAUAUUCUGAGAAUUUGCAUCCCUUCACUGCUCCAUCAAUUACAUAUGAAGAAAAUGCAUAAUGCUGUAGCACCUGUGUAACUACAUUGUAUUAUGUAUCAUUCUGUCAUUGAACAAAAUUCCAUGUCUGUCAAGAUCUGUAUAUUUCAUCAUUGUAUCCUCAGCAGCAAGUAGGAUGUGUAGGGCAUCUGAAAGUUUGAGACUGUGCAGGAUGUAUGUUCAGUAUAAUAAAGAUUAUUUAAUAUCACUGUAAC